rnacentral:lncRNA from 1 species
AUGUAAUUGGGAAUUUUUAGCAAUACAAUUUUGUGUAAUUAUGUUUGUUUUUCCCUAUCCAGAACCUGCUUCCCUGGUGAAUCUGGGAACAGCCUCUUAUAGUACAGAGCCACUAUUUAUUCCGCCCUUGUGCUUCCCUUGAGUAUAAGUUAUGAUAUAUCAGCAUUGUCUUUGAGGUCUACUGAAUCUGUGGAUAUGCAAUACUCUGAAGAGUGGAGACGGAAUGAAGUUGAAAGGAUUCAUGAAUAAAAAUUGUUUUACAGGAGGCUGCCUCUCAGGCCCUUCAGAAUGGAUAUUGUUUGGAAGUAUUUAGAGACAAAUACUAUUUUCCAGGACCACUGACACUGGGACACAGACAUCAAGGAAAAAAUAAAACAAAGCAAUCCCAAAUGCAAUGGAAUGAACAGUUAAAAGGCAGGAAGGCCUUGAAGGAAUAUGAAGGAAAUGAAGGGGGAAAGGCUGGAUUACAGUAUUCUGCAAUGAAUAACUUUGCACACAUCAAAAACAAAAAAACAAACAAAAACAAACAAACAAAAAAAAGAAAACCCAAGUCCAAGAUAAAGCAAGUACCUGUAUAACAAAAGUGUGCUGAAGAAGGA